rnacentral:rRNA from 1 species
UACGUAGGGGGCAAGCGUUGUCCGGAAUCAUUGGGCGUAAAGCGCGUGUAGGCGGCUGACUAAGUCCGCUCUGAAAGCCCGGGGCUCAACCCCGGGAGGCGGGUGGAUACUGGUCAGCUCGAGUCCGGAAGAGGAGUGUGGAAUUCCUGGUGUAGCGGUGAAAUGCGCAGAUACCAGGAGGAACACCAAUGGCGAAGGCAGCACUCUGGGACGGUAUUGACGCUGAGACGCGAAAGCGUGGGGAGCAAACAGG